AUUUAGCCCUGAUGGUAACGUAAAUCCUAUUGCGCCGGGGUUCGGCGGAAUAGAUUGCAGUGUACAGCAGGAAAUAGC
rnacentral:sRNA from 1 species